rnacentral:rRNA from 1 species
AACGAACGCUGGCGGCAGGCUUAACACAUGCAAGUCGAGCGCCCCGCAAGGGGAGCGGCAGACGGGAGAGUAACGCGUGGGAAUCUACCCAUCUCUACGGAAUAACGCAUGGAAACGUGUGCUAAUACCGUAUACGUCCUUCGGGAGAAAGAUUUAUCGGAGAUGGAUGAGCCCGCGUUGGAUAGCUAGUUGGUGGGGUAAAGGCCUACCAAGGCGACGAUCCAUAGCUGGUCUGAGAGGAUGAUCAGCCACACUGGGACUGAGACACGGCCCAGACUCCUACGGGAGGCAGCAGUGGGGAAUAUUGGACAAUGGGCGCAAGCCUGAUCCAGCCAUGCCGCGUGAGUGAUGAAGGCCCUAGGGUUGUAAAGCUCUUUCACCGGUGAAGAUAAUGACGGUAACCGGAGAAGAAGCCCCGGCUAACUUCGUGCCAGCCGCCGCCGUAAUAC